UUCGUAAUUAAGCUAUUAAGUUAAGGGACUUUCCGUCUUUAAUUUUUUUUUAUCUUACUUUUUGAUACUUUAAAUACUAGACGAGAAGGGAUAUUUGUUACUUUCUGUGUGCUUUGAUGUCUAUCAAUAACAUUGAGAAUGGAAAUGGGGAAUGUGUCAAAGAGACAACAACCCGACCAUAGAACAGACAACAGCAGAAGGUCACAAAAAGGUCUUCAAUGCAGCGAGAAACUCCCGCACCCAAGGCGUCCUUCAGCUGGCCCCAUAACAAAUAUAUAUACUAGUUCAGUGAUAGUGAAGUUUAUCAAAACGAUAUAUAUAUUGUAUAGCUUUAGUUAAAGAUUGGACCACCCUUAUCCAACCUUUUACUUCUAGACAAAAAAAAAAUAAACCAAUAAGAGCUACCUUAGCAUUCACACGAUAAUUAUGUAUGCAGAUUUCUUUUAAAUUAUUUAGAGCUAGUUAAAAGGGACAGCCUAGCCUGCAUGAUUAUCUUUAUUAAAGUCUUCAAAAACUUGUAUUACCCUUCCUAAGAACCUUAGAUAAUUGUGGGGUUGAAGUCAUAAAACUUUGUGCAGUGCUCGGAGCAUGCUAGAAACAUGAAAUCCAGCAUUUUUAUUGGUUGAUUUUGGAGUAUGAGUACAAAAGAUUGACUCAAAGUUGUAUGACUUCAAGGCCUGGACUUAUUGAUAUGUUGCUAAGACUUUUUAAAAUUUUCUAUGAAGAGUUCUUUUUUACCUUAUUGUCUUUCUUUACUUUUUUACGCAAUGUUGUCAUAUUACCUUUCGAAAUUUGUGUUUAGUAUGUUCAUUUAUAGCACUUUUGUAUGAACUUGGAUUGCUGUGCCCCAAUCUUAACAUUUUCUGCUUAUUAAGUCUUUGUUUUUCUGACAUAUUUUGGUCAAUAAGAUAAAACUAUGUGACUGUGAAACACUUGAGGGUUUAAGCUAGCUAUCACACCAGAUUUAAAUCUACAUUUUGUAGAUAAGGAAAUGCCUGCUCAAAGUCAGAAUUAUGACAGUUGUUUUACAUUUGUUUGCAGUGUAAUUUGAAUUGAUUUUUGCCAUAUGAUAAAAGACUUUCCGUGUGAACUUUUUUUGGAUGUUGGUAUUUUUGGUAUUUUACUUUUUUCUUUUAAGAUGACCUUUAUCUGUGUUUGACUA
rnacentral:lncRNA from 1 species